rnacentral:rRNA from 1 species
UACGUAGGUCCCGAGCGUUGUCCGGAUUUAUUGGGCGUAAAGCGAGCGCAGGUGGUUUAUUAAGUCUGGUGUAAAAGGCAGUGGCUCAACCAUUGUGUGCAUUGGAAACUGGUAGACUUGAGUGCAGGAAAGGAGAGUGGAAUUCCAUGUGUAGCGGUGAAAUGCGUAGAUAUAUGGAGGAACACCGGUGGCGAAAGCGGCUCUCUGGCCUGUAACUGACACUGAGGCUCGAAAGCGUGGGGAGCAAACAGG